UACGUAGGUGGCGAGCGUUGUCCGGAUUUAUUGGGUUUAAAGGGUGCGUAGGCGGCCCUGUAAGUCAGUGCUGAAAUAUCUCGGCUUAACCGAGAGGGUGGCAUUGAUACUGCAGGGCUUGAGUACAGAUGAGGUAGGCGGAAUUGACGGUGUAGCGGUGAAAUGCAUAGAUAUCGUCAAGAACACCGAUAGCGAAGGCAGCUUACUGGGCUGUAACUGACGCUGAUGCACGAAAGUGUGGGGAGCAAAACGG
rnacentral:rRNA from 1 species